rnacentral:lncRNA from 1 species
AGUGGCUUUUGUAGAAGAACAACACUCGUCAAAAAAGACAAUGAGAGGUGGUUUCUUUGAUUUAUCUAAAGAAGAGUUUGCUAGAUGCCAUUGGAAAAUGUGAUAUUUGCAUUCUUAUUCUAGUGUGAUUCUAGACUUGGUCCUGGGAUGUAGGUUAUCCAAACCUCGUUAACAAAUCUCUUGUGUCUUCUCUUCUUUAUGCUCUCAUCUCUAGUUAAGCAUCUCAUGUACAUAUCUAUUAUUUAAGCUUUGUAGAUCUAGCACGCAUCUCAUAACUACAAAUAGAAUCAAAGAGCGAGGAAAUAGAAUAUUUGGCGAGGAAAAAUCUUCGGCAGUGGAGACAGACAGAUUUUUCGGGGAGAGGGAAAUAGAGGAGAUCUCAUGAGAGUGGUUGAUGGUAGCGGAGGAAUCAAAGAAAGGACAGUUCUAGUUUGUGGCUUAAGUUAAUGAUUUAAUAUAUCAAAAUAUUGUUUCCUUCAUUUUUAGUAUAUCGCAUACAAGAAAGUUUACUUAGGUAUAGAUUUCUUUUUUUCCAAUAAAAUUAUGAAUUUUUCUAUGUUUUCAAAAUAUAAUAUCAAAUUUAGACUUAAGACG